AGCAGCCGCGGUAAUUCCAGCUCCAAUAGCGUAUAUUAAAGUUGUUGCAGUUAAAAAGCUUGUAGUUGAAUUUCGGGAUCAAUUAAUCGGUCGUACCUAUGGUACGUACUGAUUUUAUUGGUUUCUCCCUUCUGACGAACCAUGAUGUCAUUAAUUUGGUGUCGUGGAGAAUCAGGACUGUUACUUUGAAAAAAUUAGAGUGUUUAAAGCUGAAUACAUUAGCAUGGAAUAAUGAAAUAGGGCGUUUGAUCCUAUUUUGUUGGUUUCUAAGAUCGACGUAAUGAUUAAUAGGGAUAGUUGGGGGCAUUAGUAUUCAAUUGUCAGAGGUGAAAUUCUUGGAUUUAUUGAAGACUAACUACAGCG
rnacentral:rRNA from 1 species